rnacentral:rRNA from 1 species
UACAGAGGGUGCGAGCGUUGUCCGGAAUCACUGGGCGUAAAGGGUGCGUAGGUGGGCAGGUAAGUCAGUGGUGAAAUCUCCGGGCUUAACUCGGAAACUGCCAUUGAUACUAUCUGUCUUGAAUACCGUGGAGGUCAGCGGAAUAUGUCAUGUAGCGGUGAAAUGCUUAGAUAUGACAUAGAACACCAAUUGCGAAGGCAGCUGGCUACACGAAUAUUGACACUGAUGCACGAAAGCGUGGGGAUCAAACAGG